CGUAAAGCGCAUGCAGGUGGUUUGUUAAGUCAGAUGUGAAAGCCCGGGGCUCCAACCUCGGAAUUGCAUUUGAAACUGGCAGACUAGAGUACUGUAGAGGGGGUAGGAAUUUCAGGUGUAGCGGUGAAAUGCGUAGAGAUCUGAAGGAAUACCGGUGGCGAAGGCGGCCCCCUCGGACAGAUACUGACACUCAGAUGCGAAAGCGUGGGGAGCAAACAGGAUUAGAUACCCCUGGUAG
rnacentral:rRNA from 1 species